rnacentral:rRNA from 1 species
GACGAACGCUGGCGGCGUGCUUAACACAUGCAAGUCGAACGGUGACGCGCUUUCCUUUUUGGUUGGUGUGGAUGAGUGGCGAACGGGUGAGUAACACGUGAGUAACCUGCCCCCUUCUUCUGGAUAACCGCAUGAAAGUGUGGCUAAUACGGGAUAUUCUGCGCCUGCUGCAUGGUGGGUGUGGGAAAGAUUGUGCCUUUGGGUGUUUUCGGUGGGGGAUGGGCUCGCGGCCUAUCAGCUUGUUGGUGGGGUGAUGGCCUACCAAGGCGGUGACGGGUAGCCGACCUGAGAGGGUGGACGGUCACACUGGGACUGGGACACGGCCCAGAAUCCUACGGGAGGCAGCAGUGGGGAAUAUUGCACAGUGGGCGCAAGCCUGAUGCAGCGACGCCGCGUGAGGGAUGGAGGCCUUCGGGUUGUGAACCUCUUUCGCCAGUGAAGCAGGCCUGCUCCUUGUGGGUGGGUUGACGGUAGCUGGAGAAGAAGCGCCGGCUAACUACGUG